rnacentral:rRNA from 1 species
CCUACGGGCGGCUGCAGUGGGGAAUAUUGGACAAUGGGCGAAAGCCUGAUCCAGCAAUGCCGCGUGAGUGAUGAAGGCCUUAGGGUUGUAAAGCUCUUUUACCCGGGAAGAUAAUGACUGUACCGGGAGAAUAAGCCCCGGCUAACUCCGUGCCAGCAGCCGCGGUAAUACGGAGGGGGCUAGCGUUGUUCGGAAUUACUGGGCGUAAAGCGUACGUAGGCGGCUUGGUAAGUUAGAGGUGAAAGCCUGGGGCUCAACCCCAGAAUUGCCUUUAAGACUGCCUCGCUUGAACGUCGGAGAGGUGAGUGGAAUUCCGAGUGUAGAGGUGAAAUUCGUAGAUAUUCGGAAGAACACCAGUGGCGAAGGCGGCUCACUGGACGACUGUUGACGCUGAGGUACGAAAGCGUGGGGAGCAAACAGGCUUAGAUACCCCUGUAGUC